rfam:Gasterosteus aculeatus cont1.010927, whole genome shotgun sequence.
UUUAAAGUGUAAUGUAAGUCGCUUUGGAUAAAAGCGUCGGCUAAAUGACCUGUA